rnacentral:sRNA from 1 species
CCCUCAGUAGGAGCUUAGGCUCCCAAAGGCACGUGUCGUUGGCUAAGUCCGUUCGGCGGAAGCGUCGUUCGGACCGCCUUGAAUUAUAAUUACCACCGAGCGGCGGGUAGAAUCCUUUGCAGACGACUUAAAUACGCGACGGGGUAUUGUAAGUGGCAGAGUGGCCUUGCUGCCACGAUCCACUGAGAUUCAGCCCUUUGUCGCUAAGAUUCGACCCUCCCCUAAAUCACUCCAAAAAAAACAAUCCCCAAUUCUACACAAGUGUUUCUACACUAACAAAGCAACAGCUCCUUAACGAAUUCCCAACUUUACACGAGCUCGUCUCUCGAGGUUAAAUGUUAUUACUUGGUAAGAUUCCGGACCUCGCCAAGUGUUUUGAAAACCCGCAACGCUCGCAAAGGUGCAUAGUGAGAAUAAUAAGUGAAGAGACAGACUUGUCCAAAACGCCCACCACGAAGGUGCAUAGUGAGAAGAGUAAGUCAAGAGAUAGACUUGUCCAAAAAGAAACGGAAGAGAAAGCUUGGGGAGACGCUCACGAAGGUGCAUAGUGAGAAGAGUAAGUCAAGAGAUAGACUUGUUCAAAAAGAAACACAAGAGAAUGCUUGGGGUUACACUCACGAAGGUGCAUAGUGAGAAGAGUAAGUCAAGAGAUAGACUUGUUCAAAAAGAAACAGAAGAGAAUGCUUGGGGUUACACUCACGAAGGUGCAUAGUGAGAAGAGUAAGUCAAGAGACAGACUUGUUCAAAAAGAAACAAAAGAGAAUGCUUGGGGAGAUAGAAGUGUGAGAUAGUUCUCAAGCUAAGAAAGUUGUAAAAGCUAAGAACUAGCAAGUAAUCGUCCAGGAUUCCUCCACCAGGACUUGAAAUCGUCGAGGGAAAAAAAUCGGUUCCGAGGAAUCGUCGAUCCGGACUUGGAAUCGUCGAGAAAAGUUUACCGGGUCCGAGGAUUUGUCGACCAGGAGUGGAAAUCGUCGAGAAAAAUCUAUCGGGUCCGAGGAAUCGUCGACCAGGACGAGGAAUCGUCGACAGGGUCCGAGGAUUUGUCGACCAGGGGUUGAAAUCGUCGACCAGGUCCGAGACUUCAUCGACCGGGUCCGAGGAUUUGUCGACCAGGAGUGGAAAUCGUCGAGAAAAAUCUAUCGGGUCCGAGGAAUCGUCGACCAGGACGAGGAAUCGUCGACCGGGUCCGAGGAUUUGUCGACCAGGGGUUGAAAUCGUCGACCAGGUCCGAGACUUCAUCGACCGGGUCCGAGGAUUCGUCGACCAGGUCCGAGACUUCAUCGACCGGGUCCAAGUAUUUGAUUUUUUUUUGGAACCGGUGUCUCCUCAGACAUUUCAAUGUAUGUUGGUGCCAAGAGGGAAAAGGGCUAUAAAGCUAUAUAGGGGUGGGUGUGUGUAGCGGGAAUUUUGCCCGCACGCGCGCGCGCGAAUAAGAAUAAGAAUAAGUAAUAAGAAUAAGAAUAAGAAAAAGAAAAAAAAAAAAAAAAAAAAAAAAAAAAAACUCCAUAGAGUUGUUUUCUCAAUCGGGUCCGAGGAAUCGUCGAUCUGGACUUGGAAUCGUCGAGAAAAGUUUACCGGGUCCGAGGGUUUGUCGACCAGGACGAGGAAUCGUCGACCGGGUCCGAGGAUUUGUCGACCAGGGGUUGAAAUCGUCGACCAGGUCCGAGACUUCAUCGACCGGGUCCGAGGAAUCGUCGACCAGGACGAUGAAUGGUCGAUGAAAAUCUAUCGGGUUCGAGGAAUGGUCGACCAGGGGUUGAAAUCGUCGACCAGGUCCGAGACUUCAUCGACCGUGUCCGAGGAGUGGUCGAGGGUUUGUCGACCAGGACGAGGAAUCGUCGACCGGGUCCGAGGAUUUGUCGACCAGGGGUUGAAAUCGUCGACCAGGUCCGAGACUUCAUCGACCGGGUCCGAGGAUUCGUCGACCAGGACGAUGAAUGGUCGAUGAAAAUCUAUCGGGUUCGAGGAAUGGUCGACCAGGGGUUGAAAUCGUCGACCAGGUCCGAGACUUCAUCGACCGUGUCCGAGGAGUGGUCGAGGAUUUGUCGACCAGGAGUUGAAAUCGUCGACCGGGACCGAGAAUUCGUCGACCAGGACGGCGGAAUGCUCGACCAGGACGAUGAAUGGGCGAUGAAAAUCUAUCGGGAUAGAGGAAUGGUCGACCAGAAGUUGGAAUCGUCGACCGGGUCCGAGAAUUCGUCGACCAGGACGAGGAGUGGUCGAGGAUUUGUCGACCAGGAGUUGAAAUCGUCGACCGGGUCCGAGAAUUCGUCGACCAGGACGGCGGAACCCUCGACCAGGACGAUGAAUGGGCGAUGAAAAUCUAUCGGGUUCGAGGAAUGGUCGACCAGAAGUUGAAAUCGUCGACCGGGUCCGAGAAUUCGUCGACCAGGCCGAGGAGUGGUCGAGGAUUUGUCGACCAGGAGUUGAAAUCGUCGACCGGGACCGAGAAUUCGUCGACCAGGACGGCGGAUCCCUCGACCAGGACGAUGAAUGGGCGAUGAAAAUCUAUCGGGUUCGAGGAAUGGUCGACCAGGGGUUGAAAUCGUCGACCAGGUCCGAGACUUCAUCGACCGGGUCCGAGGAUUCGUCGACCAGGACGGCCGGAUGUCCGAGAAAAAAAAAUGUUGCCGAAUAACUUUCGAAAAUCAUUGGAUAUGAUGCAAUGUUUUGUGAUCGAAUCUCUUAAAAUACAUCAAUAAAGAGUUUAGGAUGUCAAGUUUGCAUCAAAUAUGCCCACGGAGCCCCAACUAGACCAUGAAAAUCCGAUGUUGUAUCAGGUCAAAUGACCUAGCUAGAGGUGUCAGAAAAUUAUGUAAAUUUACCAGAAAAUAGGAUUUAGUAUCCUUAUGAUGCAUGCCAAAAAGAAUUUUCAAAUUCCAAGUAUUUCUUUUUUUUUGGCACCGGUGUCUCCUCAGACAUUUCAAUGUCUGUUGGUGCCAAGAGGGAAAAGGGCUAUUAAGCUAUAUAGGGGGGUGGGUGUUGAGGGAGUCUGGGCAGUCCGUGGGAACCCCCUUUAUCGGUUCGGACUUGGGUAGCGAUCGAGGGAUGGUAUCGGAUAUCGACACGAGGAAUGACCGACCGUCCGGCCGCCGGGAUUUUCGCCGGAAAACUUUUCCGGCGACUUUUCCGGCGAUCGGUUUUGUUGCCUUUUUCCGAGUUUUCUCAGCAGUUCUCGGACAAAAACUGCUGAAUCGUCGAGGAGAAUGGGCUUGCCUUGCGUGGGCUGCCAUUAGUUCUUCGAGGCGUUAGGGUGGCGGCGGUAUAAAAGUGUCGGAGUUUUUUCAGCAGUUCUCGGACAAAAAUUGCUGAGUGGCCGAGAAGAAUGGGCGUGUCAUGCGUGGGCUGACAUGGAUUCUUCGAGGCCUAGGGGUGGCGGUAUAUAACUUGUUCGCAUGAUAUUACCGAGAUGUCCCCACGGGCAUCUUUUCACCUCGUCGCCGAAGAGAAUGGGCGUGUCAUGCAUGGGCUGACAUGGAUUCUCCUAGGCCGUUUGGGUGGCGGUAUAGUCGUCCUGCGCACGAAAUACCGAGAUGUCCCCAUGGGCAUCGAUUCCACCCGCCUAGGUUGGAUGGGCGUGCUUCGUUGGAAAGCAUGGAUCCGCCUAGGCUGUCCCGAGUGUGAGCGAGGUGUGAGUGUCGCCCAUGGGCAUCGACACCUUGCGGCUAGGAACUGGAACGAGACGGGUGGCAAAGAUUUCGAGUAGCACUUCAUACUACCGUGGGUUUUUUAAACCUUCCCCUAGUUUUGUCGAUGUUAUUCCGAGAAUUAGCAAACCGUAACGAAGAUGUUCUUGGCAACCAUCUUUUGAUGGGAGUCCGGCUGUUCGAUAGCCGGCCAAGGGUGAUGAACGAAAUGUGAACCCUUGUCUCGCCUAGGUUGGAUGGGCGUGCUUCGUUGGAAAGCAUGGAUCCGCCUAGGCUGUCCCGAGUGUGAGCGAGGUGUGAGUGUCGCCCAUGGGCAUCGACACCUUGCGGCUAGGAACUGGAACGAGACGGGUAGCAAAGAUUUCGAGUAGCACUUCAUACUACCGUGGGUUUUUUAAACCUUCCCCUAGUUUUGUUGAUGUUAUUCCGAGAAUUAGCAAACCGUAACGAAGAUGUUCUUGGCAACCAUCUUUUGAUGGGAGUCCGGCUGUUCGAAAGCCGGCCAAGGGUGAUGAACGAAAUGUGAACCCUUGUCUCGCCUAGGUUGGAUGGGCGUGCUUCGUUGGAAAGCAUGGAUCCGCCUAGGCUGUCCCGAAGGUAUCUCGCGCUUGUACGGCUUUGGCUCGGAUUCGUCCGUCUUCUUUCUUCUUAGCCGAGUACUUCGGUAGAUUAGUUGGAACGAUUGAUGAUUUUGAGUUAAUUGAACGUUCGGCGUAUGAGUGGUGAUCGGAUAGCUAGUGUUCGUAGGCUCCAUGCUCGCGCAUCGAACUACCUACCACCUAUCCUUCUCAGUUAAUUCACGGGCGAUGUUACGCUCGAUGAUGAGUUCCGGGGCCUGUGUUUCGUACCUAAUUUGAAGGAAUUGUUGAGUUCGGUUUACACCCAUGCCCGCGGCUUCUCCUUCGUGGGGAAGUCGUGGGCACAAACAUCGGCGCUUGUUCACCUCUCGUCAUCGCAUUUGUUGCCUUGCUCGCAUUGGUGAAUGAGUUGCGGGUUGAUAUCUCGGAUGCGGAAAAGUUGUCGACGGUGACUCGAAGUGAUUCAGUCCCGCCAAAGCUCAUCCGUCCUUCGGGCAAAAGAUGACGGUCAAGACCUCGUCCUUUCUCUCUUUCCAUUGCGUUUGAGAGGAUGUGGCGGGGAAUUGCCGUGAUCGAUGAAUGCUACCUGGUUGAUCCUGCCAGUAGUCA